AUCUAACGCUGGCGGCAGGCCUAACACAUGCAAGUCGAAUGGUAACAGGAAACAGCUUGCUGUUUCGCUGACGAGUGGCGGACGGGUGAGUAAUGUCUGGGAAACUGCCUGAUGGAGGGGGAUAACUACUGGAAACGGUAGCUAAUACCGCAUAACGUCGCAAGACCAAAGAGGGGGACCUUCGGGCCUCUUGCCAUCAGAUGUGCCCAGAUGGGAUUAGCUAGUAGGUGGGGUAACGGCUCACCUAGGCGACGAUCCCUAGCUGGUCUGAGAGGAUGACCAGCCACACUGGAACUGAGACACGGUCCAGACUCCUACGGGAGGCAGCAGUGGGGAAUAUUGCACAAUGGGCGCAAGCCUGAUGCAGCCAUGCCGCGUGUAUGAAGAAGGCCUUCGGGUUGUAAAGUACUUUCAGCGGGGAGGAAGGGAGUAAAGUUAAUACCUUUGCUCAUUGACGUUACCCGCAGAAGAAGCACCGGCUAACUCCGUG
rnacentral:rRNA from 1 species